rnacentral:tRNA from 1 species
CUACGUAUAGCUAAAUGGUAUAGCAGGGAAUUAUUUCUCGUGUUGCGGGUUCGAGUCCCGCUACGUAAC